AUGUAUAUAUACAUACACCCAUAUAACCACAGACACACACACACACAUACACAAUCACAUACAUCAACACACAUAAUCACAACACAUACUUAACAUCAGAGAUACACACACAAUCACACACAUCCACAAACACAAUCACAGACACACAAUCACAUGUCACAGGCAGUCACAAUCACAGUUACACACACACACACAGCACACACUCUCUCUCUCUCUCACUUACUG